GAUCUCUUAAACGGCCGCGGUACCCUGACCGUGCAAAGGUAGCAUAAUCACUCGCCUCUUAAUUGGAGGCUGGAAUGAACGAACCAACGUGAGCCCCCCUGUCUCUUCUAUGAACAUGUAACUUAACCUCUAGGUGAAAAGGCCUAGAUAAAACUAAAAGACAAGAAGACCCUAUCGAGCUUUAUUGCCAAAUUUUUAUUCUAAAUAACUAACACUUAACUUUAUAUAAAAACCAUGCCAUUUUGUUGGGGCAACAAAGGAACAAUAAAAGCUUCCUUUAAUUUAUCAACCUACACCCGACCCAAAAAACUGAUCAUAGGAAAAACGCUACCGUAGGGAUAACAGGUUAAUUUUUCUCGAGAGCCCACAUCAACAGAAAAGUUUGACACCUCGAUGUUGGCUUAGGCUAUCCUAAUAAUGCAGAAGUUAUUAAUGGUGGGUUUGUUCAACCCUUAAUAGCCUACGUGAUCUGAGUUCAGACCGGA
rnacentral:rRNA from 1 species